CUAUGGAAAUGAUCAACCAAUUCAUUUUGAGGGUCAAAACAAGAAUUUCUAAAACAUUUGUUCAUAAAGUCCUCAAGAACACACACAAAAAUAUUUUUCCUUGUUUCACAAAAUCAAAGCCAUUUCCUAACAUCCAUUUCCCUAUAAUGCUUAUAAACAACACCAAAAAUAAAAGCACAACACAAGUUUUCAAAGUUAUGAGCAUUUCAAAUAGAUUUUCCAAACCCUAACAAAAGAUUUCAUGAAAUUCUUAAUCACCAUGGAAACCAACAUGUGCCAAGCUUAAACUAGCUUAUAAACUACUCCUAAACACUUCCCUAGAACCACAAACACCCAAAACUUAUUCUAGAAAAUUUUACUCAAGAACAAGUCAUGACAAACUCUAAAAUUAUUCUAGAAAUCAUGACUUUUAGCUAGACAAAAGCAUGGAGAAGAUGAGUUACCUUAAGAGGAGUGAUUUCUUUGCAAGUUCCUAGUUCCAAGGAGACAAAUCCAAGCUUGAAUGGAUGAGAAAUGGAAAUUUCAAUGGUGAGGGUGAGUGAGAGAGGAGAGGGAAGAGUAGAGAGCUUUGCAAUUUUUUUUCUAAGUUAAAAAGUCUACCAAACAAAUCAUAUGACAAAAGUGGUCUUGCUCCAUCA
rnacentral:lncRNA from 1 species